AAAAAGAUAAAGACAGUGAUCAGACUACAGGGGUGGAGACCUCUCGGUGUCUGUAGUACCUCCUCUGGUGACCUCCUGGUUGUCGUGGUCAGUGAUGAUAAUAAACAAACAAUAGUUGUGUGUUACUCUGGCUCCACAGAGAAACAAAGUAUUCAGUACGACAACAAAGGACAACCUCUCUAUUCAUCUGGUGGCAUUAAAUACAUCAGUGAGAACAGGAACCUAGAUAUCUGUGUGUCAGACUAUGUAGCUCGUGCAGUAGUGGUGGUCAAUCAGGCCGGGAAACUCCGAUUUACCUACACUGGUCCUCCCUCUUCUUCCAAGGGAUCAUUUAAUCCAGUCGGCGUCACAACAGACAGCCAGGGUCGGAUCCUGACAGCAGACUGGUACAACAACCGUAUCCACAUCCUGGAUCAGGACGGACAGUUCCUCCGCUACAUUGACAACUGUCAUUUACAGUAUCCAUGGGGUUUAUGUGUGGACACAAGAGACAACCUCUUUAUUGUGGAUGAUCCCAGAACAGGUAAAGUGAAGAGAAUCCAGUAUUACGUGUAAAAAAAACAACAACUGUGUGUAUACUACAUGUAUAAACAAACUGUGUGUAUACCUACAUAUAAAAUGUGGGUGUUACAUUGACAUAUGUACUAAUUAUAUAUGUGUUAUAACAUGUAUCAUGUGUAUACAAAGUGAAUAUAUAUAAACAUAUACAAACAAACUGGGGUGUUACAUUGAUAUGAAUUGUUUAUAUAUGUGUGUAAUGUAUACAAACUGAAUAUACAUAAAAAAUGUAAAAAA
rnacentral:misc_RNA from 1 species